CGGGGGGGCCGCGCCGGGCGCUCGGGGGCGUCCGGGGCCGCGGCGGCCCUGCCCCGGCCCCUGUCCCUGCCCCUGUCUCUGCACCGGCCCCUGCCCCUGUCCCUGUCCCUGUCCCUGUCCCUGCCCUUGCCCCUGUCGCUGUCCCUGUCCCUGCCCCUAUCUCUGCCCCGGCCCCUGCCCCUGCCCUUGUCCCUGUCCCUGUCCCUGUCCCUGUCCCUGCCCUUGCCCCUAUCGCUGUCCCUGUCUCUGUUCCUGUCCCUGCCCCUAUCUCUGCCCCGGCCCCUGCCCCUGCCCUUGUCCCUGUCCCUGUUCAUGUCCCUGCCCCUGCCCCUGCCCCGGCCGCGCAGCGCCGGCCGCUGGAGAACGCGGCUCUCGGGAGGGACAGAGCCGGUGCCCGGGGCUGCGGGCAGGACCCGAGCGAUGGGGAGGGAACACGAGCUCACUGCUGUGCGUGCUCGCACAUAACUUAGGAGAAUGUGCCCGCCCGCCGCCGUGCCUGGGGCUGCCCGGCAGGCCCCGUCCCGCCGCGGGGAUCGACCCAGCAGAGCAGGACCUGCCACCAAAGCUGCAUUGGGUGGACACAUAAGCUUAUACACUACAAACAUACAUGCUCUUUUCAUGGAAUACCCUGAAUAUAUCUAAGUGCUUGAAAUGGUUAAAUGCUGGUGUCAGCUGUAGUUUGAUAUGCUCCCAACAGUCCUCAAGGCAGCAAGGUGCAAAGCACUGCCCCAAUAUCCUGCUGUCUGCAAUUAUCACAGCUUCAAUUUUGUUCGAAACCCUAGCUUUAACUCUUCAACUCCUUUCUCUGUGUGUAAGUAAUUUAAUUCCUGCUGGAAUUAAUACAUAUUUUGCUGUUCCUGGUCUCUUUCUGGGGACAUAACAGUGUGCUGGUUCUUUACCCAAAAUCCACAACAGAUAUAACAGCCCAAGACUGUGUAUCAUACCAGGCCCUGUGGCAUUCAGACCUCUUUGGUGACCUCUGUCCUGACCUACAUCAGCUGAUUAAGGUCUGGUAUCCUUUGUGGGCAGGAUAUAUCAAGGACAAGAUAAUCUCCCAAAUCAGAGGUUAGAUUGCACCACCUUGCCAUGCACAUCUUUGUUCUGAUUCAUGCCUGUACACAUAGCUACACGGAAGCCACAGCCCUCUCUGGCCUAAUCAAGACUUGUUUGUGUCUUGUUUGUCAGCCUCUGACUGACCACAGAUUUUACAGACAGCAGAUUACAUGUGAUGUUACUUCUCGGAUCUUACUCCUUGGAUCUGCACUUCUGUUGUGGUAAGCUUAGGUGAAAGCAAACAUGGAGAAGAUUCCAACUGCAUUUGGACACCAACCAUCCAAAGCUGUCUUAAUUCACUGUUGCCUCUAAGAUGAAGUGAUCUGAACCACUGAUACAGAUUCUUCUACCUGGAUUCCCAAGGAAAUUCUUGGACUUCGAAGUGAGGGAUCUUAUAGAUAUGAAAUCAAUGAAAGAGAUAAUGUGACAACUGCAAGCAUUUGUGGAGACUGAGAAGAUCUCACAGCUUUCGAUCACAUGUGGCUUAACUUUUUCUUCAAAAGUCCAAGGAGGGAGGAACCUGGCUUUGACUUUCUUUAAAGCUGCCCUCUUCUCUACAUGUUCUUUCAUGUUUGCAGGUAUUGCCUUGAAAUACUGACAGCUUGGCAGACAAAACAUUAUGUUAACAGCAGUUUCUCCUCUUCAAGGUUCCUGAUAGGUGUUUUAGCAUGAAAUUAAAUUAUUCUGUAGCAAUCAUUUCUGUAGCAAUGUAGACUCCAAGCCCUUUGUCCAAGUCUAAGAGUUGAUACCAUUCCCUUCAAAUUUUCCAGUCUCUAUGUUAUGAUCUUGUUCUAUCUGCUUCACUUGCUCAAGAGCUCAAUUUGGGUUUUUUUAAAUCCUUUUAAAACAGUUUGGAAUCAAAAAUAUUUUUACUGAAAUAGCUUCCUAUUGCAGAAUCUGAAGGGUUUUUUUCGGCUGGAAAUCCUGGUAGCUUCCAAUAUUACUUAUUUGUUCUUCCUUUUAAACUUAAAUUAAAAUGUAUCAUAGUUGUAUGACCACAAAAGACUCUUGCCAACUUGUAAACUAAGAAGCAGUAAUAAAAUUAUGGAACAGUAAUAAACAUCUUCCCCAAA